AUUGAACGCUGGCGGCAUGCUUUACACAUGCAAGUCGAACGGUAACAGGCCGCAAGGUGCUGACGAGUGGCGCACGGGUGAGUAAUGCAUCGGAACGUGCCCAGUCGUGGGGGAUAACUACUCGAAAGAGUAGCUAAUACCGCAUACGAUCUAUGGAUGAAAGCGGGGGACCGUAAGGCCUCGCGCGAUUGGAGCGGCCGAUGUCAGAUUAGGUAGUUGGUGGGGUAAAGGCUCACCAAGCCAGCGAUCUGUAGCUGGUCUGAGAGGACGACCAGCCACACUGGGACUGAGACACGGCCCAGACUCCUACGGGAGGCAGCAGUGGGGAAUUUUGGACAAUGGGCGCAAGCCUGAUCCAGCAAUGCCGCGUGCAGGAAGAAGGCCUUCGGGUUGUAAACUGCUUUUGUACGGAACGAAACGGCUCUGGUUAAUACCCGGGGCUAAUGACGGUACCGUAAGAAUAAGCACCGGCUAACUACGUG
rnacentral:rRNA from 1 species